GUGCAGCAGGCGAGAAACCUCCGCAAUACACGAAAGUGUGACGGGGCCAUCCCGAGUGCCGUCCGCUGAGGACGGCUUUUCCCCAGUGUACACAGCUGGGGGAAUAAGGAGAGGGCAAGCCUGGUGUCAGCCGCCGCGGUAAUACCAGCUCUCCGAGUGGUGGGGACGCUUAUCGGGCCUAAAGCAUCCGUAGCCGGCUGGGCAAGUCCUCCGUUAAAUCCAACGAUUCAAUCGUUGGGCUGCGGGGGAUACUGUCCAGCUUGGGGGCGGGAGAGGCCGACGGUAUUCCCGGGGUAGGGGUGAAAUCCUAUAAUCCCGGGAGGACCACCAGUGGCGAAGGCUGUCGGCUAGAACGCGCCCGACGGUGAGGGGAUGAAAGCUGGGGGAGCGAACCGGAUUAGAUACCCGCGUAGU
rnacentral:rRNA from 1 species